GAUUCUGAAGCAGAGACCAGGACCAGGAACUGGGAUUUAUAGAGAUGAGAGCACAAAGGACGGUGACAUGGAACUUUGGGUCAGUGGUCUCGCCUGGGACUGUCCGCUUUGUGCAGUCACACAAAACCUUCAGUUAAUAGGUCAAACCAUUGUAGCUGACACAUCCUUGCAAAGUGAGUAUUUCGUCAUGGAGGGUCUAGUUUUUGAAAGCCGUGUCUUAUUCUCAGAAUUCUCCAGACAUCUCACUGGUGUGUCUUACAGGUGUUCACCCUGCUGUGGAUCGCUGACUGGAUGGUCCAUCGCUUCUGGAGGAAAGGAAAGGACCCAGAUAGUUUCUCCAUCCCGUACCUGACGGCGCUAGGCGACCUGCUUGGGACCGCUCUGCUGGCCUUAAGCUUCCAUUUUCUCUGGCUUAUCGGAGACCGAGAUGGCGACGUUGGAGACUAACGGACCGACAAGCUGCCGUGGGGUCACCCGGGGGGAGAACACAGGCAGCCAUUGCUGCCCCUCCAAAGCUCUUCAUCUGUCCUGUGACUUACGCCAGGGUAGUCUGCGGUUCACCCUGACUCCAUAAAUGGCCUUAACGUACUUUUUAAGGGAUUUGUGAAUCUGAAACCACAUGAAAGGUAUUUGUGCUGCUUUUUUGUAGAAUAAAUAAUUUGACACAGACAU
rnacentral:lncRNA from 1 species